GCAAAUAAUAAUUGUUCUUUGGUCUCUCAGCCAUGACCUGACCUUCUGGCUAAGAGACAAAGCUGAUACCUUCCUUAGC
rnacentral:miRNA from 12 species